GACACACUGUAACAAACCCCCUCCUCAUGUAAUCUCCUUACUACUGGGGUGACACACUGUAACAAACCUCCUCCUCAUGUAAUCUCCUUACUACUGGGGUACUGGAGCUCAGCAAGAUAGAAGAGAUCGUGAUAAAGGACCUGUGAAGAUGGUCAUGUGACUGGAGUGGGCGGAGCUCAGCAGCCCCGGCAGGACUAUUUCCCUCCAGCUGGCCCAGUUGUCUCCUCUUCUCCUGAAUGACCCCCAAGGAUGGACAAGGACAGGAAUGAGAUGACUAAGAGAAUAUUACACUUCACCUUGGAGAUCCUCCACCUGCUGACCGGAGAGGAUUACACCAUAGUGAAGAAGACAUGGGGGGAGUGUGUGGCCCCCAGCAGCCAUCUCCAUAAGUCAGGAGGACGGAGCAGGGCCCGGGGCCCCAUCACAGAGCCUUCACCUCACUCACUGAUACAUGAAGAGAAGAUUCUGGGACUCAUCCACAGGAUCACUGAGCUGCUGACUGGAGAGGUUCCUAUAAGGUGUCAGGAUGUGGCGGUCUAUUUCUCCAUGGAGGAGUGGGAGUAUGUAGAAGGACACAAGGAUCUGUACCAGGACAUAGUCAUGAUGGAGGAUCACCGGCCCCUCACAUCACAAGAUGGAGUCAUUGAUAGAAAUCCACCCGAGAGGUGUCCCCGCCCUCUGUAUUCCCAGGACUGUCCAGAGGGAAAUGUCGCAGAGAAGCAUCAGGGUGAAGAUCUGAUGGAUAUUAAGGUUGAGGUUAAAGUUGAACCAGAAGAGGAGACGGAUUUGGGGUCCGAUCAGCAGUAUGGAGUCAUUGAUAGAAAUCCACCCGAGAGGUGUCCCUGUCCUCUGUAUUCCCAGGACUGUCCAGAGGGAAAUGUCCCAGAGAAGCAUCAGGGGGGAGAUCUGACUAAUAAUAAAGUGGAGGAUGAAGAAGAGAGGAUGAGGGGCCAUCACCCGUGUAUGAGGGAAGUGAAGGAGGAAAUUCCAGGAGGUGUUAUCCCAGGAAAUCCCAGUAAGAAUGAGGGAAACGUCCUGUUAUCCCUGAAUAAUAAACGAGAAGAUGGAGAGAUCAUGAAGCGCUCCUCAGGACAAGAUGGAGAGAUCAUGAAGCGCUCCUCAGGACAAGAUGGAGAGAUCAUGAAGCGCUCCUCAGGACAAGAUGGAGAGAUCAUGAAGCGCUCCUCAGGACAAGAUGGAGAGAUCAUGGAGCGCUCCUCAGGAGAAGAUGGAGGGAUCAUGGAGCGCUCCUCAGGACAAGAUGGAGAGAUCAUGGAGCGCUCCUCAGGAGAAGAUGGAGAGAUCAUGGAGCGCUCCUCAGGAGAAGAUGGAGAGAUUAUGGAGCGUCCCUCAGGACAAGAUGGAGAGAUCAUGGAGCGCUUCUCAGGAGAAGACCUCCUUACCCCUAAUGUCCAUCCAGAUCUAUCCUAUAAUAAUCCACCUGAUCAUGAGGAACCUUCUCCUGACCAACCACACAUUGUUACACACAGAAAGAAGCUGUAUGUGUGUUCAGAUUGUGGACAAUGCUGUUUAAGGCAAUCAGAUCUUACUAUACAUGAGAGAACUCAUACAGUAGAGAAGCCAUAUUUAUGUUCAGAAUGUGGGAAAUGCUUUAAACAUAAAUCACUUCUUGUGUUACAUGAGAGGAUUCACACAGGAGAGAAGCUACAUUCAUGUUCAGAAUGUGAUAAAUGUUUUACAUGUAAAUCGCAUCUUGUUAGACAUGAGAGAACUCACACAGGAGAGAAGCCGUAUUCAUGUUCAGAAUGUGAUAAAUAUUUUUCAUCUAAAUCGCAUCUGGUUAGACAUGAGAGAAGUCACACAGUAGAGCAGCCACAUUCAUGCUCAGAAUGUGGGAAAUGCUUUAAACAUAAAUCACUUCUUGUGUUACAUGAGAGGAUUCACACAGGAGAGAAGCUACAUUCAUGUUCAGAAUGUGAUAAAUGUUUUACAUGUAAAUCGCAUCUUGUUAGACAUGAGAAAACUCAUACAGGAGAGAAGCCGUAUUCAUGUUCAGAAUGUGAUAAAUGUUUUGCUUGUAAAUCGCAUCUUGUUAGACAUGAGAGAAGUCACACAGGAGAGAAGCCACAUUCAUGUUCAGAAUGUAUGAAAUGUUUUAUAACUAAAGCAGAGCUUAAAAGACAUCAGAGAACUCACAUAAGAGAGAAGCCAUUUUCAUGUUUAGAAUGUGGGAAAUGUUUUAGGACUAAAGGAGAGCUUGUUCUACAUGAGAGAAGUCACACAGGAGAGAAGCCAUUUUCAUGUUCAGAAUGUAUGAAAUGUUUUAUAAGUAAAGCAGAUCUCGAAAGACAUCAGAGAACUCACACAGGAGAGAAGCCAUUUUCAUGUUUAGAAUGUGGGAAAUGUUUUAGAACUAAAGGAGAGCUUGUUAGACAUGAGAGAAGUCACACAGGAGAUAAGCCAUUUUCAUGUUCAGAAUGUAAGAAAUGUUUUACAGCUAAAUCAGAUCUUGUUAGACAUGUGAGAAGUCACACAGGAGAGAAGCCAUUUUCAUGUUCAGAAUGUGGGAAAUGUUUUAGAGAUCAUUCAGAUCUUGUUAGACAUCAGCGAACUCACACAGGAGAAAAGCCAUUUUCAUGUUCAGAAUGUGAGAAAUGUUUUACAGCUAAAUCAGAUCUUGUUAUACAUAGAAGAAGUCACACAGGAGAGAGGCCAUAUUCAUGUUUAGAAUGUAGUAAAUGUUUUACAACUAAAUCAGAGCUUGUUAAGCAUGAGAGAAUUCACACAGGAGAAAAGCCGUAUUCAUGUUCACAAUGUGGGAAAUGGUUUAUACGUAAAUCACAUCUGCGUAGACAUGAGAGAUGUCACACUGGUCAAAAGGCAUUUUCAUGUUCAUAAUGUAUAAAAUGUUACAUAACUAAAGCGGAUCUUGAAGGACAUCAGAUAACUCACACAGGAGAAAAGUCAUUUUAAAGUUCAGAAUGUGGGAAAUGUUUCUUAAAUAAAUUAUAUCUUGUUAUACGUGAGAGGAUAGAAGCCGUAUUCAUGUUCAGAAUGUGGGAUUUUUUUUUUUUUUUUACAGAAAUCCCAUCUUGUUAGAGAUGAGAGAAGUCACAAUCAUAUUCAGAAUGUGGGAUAUGCUUUAUAUGUAGUUCAGGUCUUGUUGGACAUGAGAGAAGUCACACAGGAGCGAAGCCACAUUCAUGUUGAAAAUGUAGAAAAUGUUUCACAACUAAAGCAGAACCUGGUAGACCUAAGACAACUGAGACAUUAAACAUCAAUGAGAGAUUCUACAGAGUCUGGAAUAGAUGAAAUUAGUUUUUUUUUCUCCAUCUCAAGUAUUUUUUUCCCCUCCAUCUCUCCCCCCUCUCCCCUCUUCUUGUAAUCUUGGGGAUUUAAUGUAAAGUGGUUUAAUGUUACUAUAUAUAUAUAUUGAUAUGUGUAUAUAGGUGGAGAUAUGACAUUGUUAUUUUUGUACGUAUGAUGUAGAAAUCAAUCUGACUAUUGCUAUAAUCUGGGGGGGGGGGGGCUAAAAAGUGAAGAAUAAAUCUUCAAAAAGAAAAAAAUACAAAAGUGAAAAACUCCCUCCCCCAAUAAAAAUGUAACCCCUUAAGGACUCAAAAUAAUUGGAGAUUUUCCUAUCCUUGGUGACAGAAAAUGUAGAUUUAAUUAAAGACAGGAGGUGAACAUUAUGCCAUCUCUUCUUUACUGGUAAAUAUAGCAGCAAGGGUUAAUAGAUAACAUUUAGAGAGAAAAAAAAUGACAAUAUGUAAAUUAGGUAUGAACAGUAGCCAAUCAUCAGACAGUACAGGUAAUAUAAAGGUAUGCACAGGUAACAGUCUUUCUCUUCGUUGAUCCUAGGAAAAAAAUUAAAAACUAAUUCUAAACAAAUAUAUAUAAUAGGGAAAAAGGACUAUAAAAGUCCAAAAUAUAAACACUGCUCAAAAAAGUAAUGUGAACACUUAAAUAACACAAUGUAACUCCAAGUCAAUGACACUUCUGUGAGAUCCCACUGUCCACUCAGGAAGAACACUGAUUGACAAUUUCACAUGGAACAGACAACAGGUGGAAAUUAUAGGCAAUAAGCAAGACACCCCCAAUAAAGGAGUAGGUGGUGACCACAGACCAAUUCCCAGUUCCUAUGCUUCCUGGCUGAUGUUUUGGUCACUUUUUAAUGGUGGCAGUGCUUUCACUCUAGUGGUAGCAUGAGACUGAGUCUACAACCCACACAAGUGGCUCGGGUAGUGCAGCUCAUCCAGGAUGGUACAUCAAUGCGAGCUGUGAAAAGAAGGUUUGCUGUGUCUGUCAGCGUAGUGUCCAGAGCAUGGAGGCGCUACCAGGAAACAGGCCGGUACAUCAGGAGACGUGGAGGAGGCCGUAGGAGGGUAUUAACCCAGCAACAGGACCGCUACCUCCGCCUUUGUGCAAGGAGGAUCACUGCCAGAGCCCUGCAAAAUGACCUCCAGCAGGCCACAAAUGUGCAAACGGUCAGAAACAGACUCCAUGAGGGUGGUAUGAGGGCCUGACGUCCACAGGUGGGGGUUGUGCUGACAGCCCAACACCGUGCAAGAUGUUUGGCAUUUCCCAGAGAACACCAAGAUUGGCAAAAUCGCCUCUGGCGCCCUGUGCUCUUCACAGAUGAAAACAGGUUCAAACUGAGCACAUGGGACAAAGUCUGGAGACGCCGUGGAGAAUGUUCUGCUGCCUGCAACAUGCUGCAGCAUGACCGAUUUGGUGGUGGGUCAGUAAUGGUGUGGGGUGGCAUUUCUUUGGGGGGCCACACAGCCCUCCAUGUGCUUGCCAGAGGUAGCCUGACUGCCAUUAGGUACUGAGAUGAGAUCCUCAGACUCCUUGUGAGACCAUAUACUGGUGCGGUUGGCCCUGGGUUCCUCCUAAUACAAGACAAUGCUGGACCUCAUGUGGCUGGAGUGUGUCAGCAGUUCAUUCAGAUCUAGGAUGUGUUAUCGCAGUGUUAUCAACUGGAAAAAGUUGAACAAUAGCUUAGGGUAGGGAUAAAAGUGGAUAAUGUUCGCCUCCUAUCUAAUAAAAUCUAUAUUUUUCAUCACCAAGAAUAGGAAAAUCUCCAAUUUUAUUACAAGAUGAGGAGGCUCCCAUUAUGCUUGUUUAACCCCUUAACGACAAUUGACGUAAAUGUACAUCAUGGUACCGUGGUACUUAACGCACCAUGGCAUACAUUUACGAUCCGCCAUGACCACGAGCACCGGAACGGUGCUUGCGGCAGGUCCCGGCUGCUAUCAGCAGCCAGGGACCCGCCGGUAAUGGCGGACAUCCGGGAUCACGUGGAUGUCCGCCAUUAACUGCUCAGAUGCCAUGAUAUAUACAGAUCACAGCAUCUGUGGCAGUGCAGUACUUUAAAUGGAUGAUUGGAUCGCCCGCAGCGCUGCAUAUUUGGUAUUGCCGUGUGCGAAAUGUCCGAACUACUAAAAUAUAAUGUUAUUCAUCCUGUACUGUGAACAGAAAAAAAACUCUGAAUUGCUGCUUUUUUUGUCACAUUUUAUUAUAAAAUAAUAAUAAUAAAAGUUUUAUAUACACAAAUGUGGUAUCAAUAAAAAGCACAGAACAUGGCGCAAAAAAUGAGCCCUCAUACCGCUGCUUAUACGGAAAAAUGAAAAAGUUAUAGGUCGUCAAAAUAGAAGGAUUUUAAACGUACUAAUUUGGUUAAAAUGUUUGCAAUUUUUUUAAGCGCAAUAAUAAUAGAAAAGUAUAUAAUCAUGGGUAUCAUUCUAAUCGUAGGAGGUUAUAUAUAAAAAGUUAUAUAUGGAAACCGCUACUGAGAUCGCGCGCGCGAUCCAACAUGAGGACGCCAGUUUACUUCCAAGUCCAGGUCCCUGUCCACACCAUCCAGGAUUACUUCGGCCGGACGCACAUCCAUGCCCACCUGCACCCUGCUGGAGAUAUUAUCCCGAGGCCGGACGUCACUCCGUGCCAACUCCGACUAACAUCUUUGCCGCAGCACAUCCUGCUAAGAUGAAAAUGAAGAUGAUGUGAUGGAGAAGAUGGAGAGAUCAUGGAGCGCUCCUCAGGACAAGAUGGAGAGAUCAUGGAGCGCUCCUCAGGACAAGAUAGAGAGAUCAUGGAGCGCUCCUCAGGAGAAGACCUCCUUACCCCUAAUGUCCAUCCAGAUCUAUCCUAUAAUAAUCCACCUGAUCAUGGGGAACCUUCUCCUGACCAACCACACAUUGUUACCACAAGGACAGAUCAGGAUCAUGGGAAAGGUUUCUAUUGUGAUGAAUGUGGGAAACAAUUUACAAAAAGAUCAGCUCUUGUUAUGCAAUAAAAAAGUCACUCAAGAAAGAAGCUGUAUGUGUGUUCAAAAUGUGGGCAACGCUGUACAAGUCCAUCAGCUUUUAUUACACAUGAGAGAAUUCACGCAAGAGAGAAGCCAUAUUCAUGUUCAGAAUGUGAAAAAUGUUUCCCAA